AGGAUUAUAUUUAAGUAUAAUAUUUGAUUUGCAUUCAAAAGGUGUGUAAAACUAAUCUUA
rnacentral:tRNA from 1 species